CAUGGAUAACCGUGGUAAUUCUAGAGCUAAUACAUGCUAAAAAUCCCAACUUCGGAAGGGAUGUAUUUAUUAGAUUAUAAACCAAUGCCCUCGGGGGCUCACUGGUGAUUCAUAAUAACUUCUCCAAUCGCAUGGCCUUGCGCCGGCGAUGGUUCAUUCAAAUUUCUUCCCUAUCAACUUUCGAUGUUUGGGUAUUGACCAAACAUGGUUGCAACGGGUAACGCAGGGUUAGGGCUCGACCCCGGAGAAGGAGCCUGAGAAACGGCUACUACAUCCAAGGAAGGCAGCAGGCGCG
rnacentral:rRNA from 1 species